rnacentral:rRNA from 1 species
ACACGACUACAUUAGAUACCCCUGUAGUCCCAGCCCUAAACGAUGCGCGUUAGGUGUAUCGGUGACCACGAGUCACCGAGGUGCCGAAGGGAAACCGUGAAACGUGCCGCCUGGGAAGUACGGUCGCAAGGCUGAAACUUAAAGGGAUUGGCGGGGGAGCACCACAACGGGUGGAGCUUGCGGUUUAAUUGGACUCAACGCCGGGAAGCUCACCGGAUAAGACAGCGGAAUGAUUGCCGGGCUGAAGACCCCGCAUGACCAGCUG